GAUGAACGCUGGCGGCGUGCCUAAUACAUGCAAGUCGAGCGAACAGACGAGGAGCUUGCUCCUCUGACGUUAGCGGCGGACGGGUGAGUAACACGUGGAUAACCUACCUAUAAGACUGGGAUAACUUCGGGAAACCGGAGCUAAUACCGGAUAAUAUAUUGAACCGCAUGGUUCAAUAGUGAAAGACGGUUUUGCUGUCACUUAUAGAUGGAUCUGCGCCGCAUUAGCUAGUUGGUAAGGUAACGGCUUACCAAGGCGACGAUGCGUAGCCGACCUGAGAGGGAGAGCGGCCACACUGGAACAGAGACACGGCCGAGCCUCCGACAGGGGGCACGAGGGGGGAAUCUUCGACAAGGGGAGAAGGCCGAACGGCGCAGCACCGCGGGGAGGAUAAAGGUUUUGGAAUCAAAAAACCCCUUAAUUGGGGAGAAAAAAAGGAGAAAGCAAAUAUGCACGUCUAGACGAUCCCAAAAAGGAAACCCAGGAAAAACUACGGC
rnacentral:rRNA from 1 species